rnacentral:misc_RNA from 1 species
AACGCACGAGACCUGCGGACCUGCGGAGGGAUCAUUAAUGAGAAACUGCCCCUCGCGGGUAGAUCUCCCACCCUUUGUAAACUUACCUUUGUUGCUUUGGCAGGCCCGUCUCCGGACCGCCGGCUUCGGCUGGCCAGUGCCUGCCAGAGGAUUCUAAAACUCUGCCUGUCAGUGUUGUCUGAGUCUAUAUACAAUCGUUAAAACUUUCAACAAUGGAUCUCUAGAUCGGAAGAGCACACG